rnacentral:rRNA from 1 species
UACGUAGGGGCCGAGCGUUGUCCGGAGUUAUUGGGCGUAAAGCGCGCGCAGGCGGCCUCGCGCGCCCGACGUGAAAGCCCCCGGCUUAACCGGGGAGGGUCGUUGGGGACGGCGGGGCUUGAGGGCGGGAGAGGUCGGUGGAAUUCCCGGUGUAGUGGUGAAAUGCGUAGAGAUCGGGGGGAACACCGGUGGCGAAGGCGGCAUCCUGGACCGACACUGACGCUGAGGAGCGAAAGCCAGGGGAGCAAACGGG